GAUGAAGAACGUAGCGAAAUGCGAUAAGUAGUGUGAAUUGCAGAAUUCAGUGAAUCAUCGAAUCUUUGAACGCACAUUGCGCCCCUUGGUAUUCCAUGGGGCAUGCCUGUUCGAGCGUCAUUUGUACCUUCAAGCUUUGCUUGGUGUUGGGUGUUUGUCCCUCGGGACUCGCCUUAAAGUCAUUGGCAGCCAGUGUUUUGGUUUUGAAGCGCAGCACAAGUCGCGAUUCAAGGCUAUCCGCCCGCUUCCACAAGCCUUUUUCACUUUUGACCUCGGAUCAGGUAGGGAUACCCGCUGAACUUAAGCAUAUCAAUAAGCGGAGGA
rnacentral:misc_RNA from 1 species